rnacentral:tRNA from 1 species
GACCGUGUAGCUCAGUUGGAAGAGCAUUGGGCUAGUAUUCCAAAGGUUGUAGGUUCGAAUCCCACCGUGGCCG